UUCAAUGAAUGUGUUGUACCAUAUGAAUCUUGUUUUUCUUGAUUUUAAUGAAUGUGUUGUACCAUGAAAUCUUGUUUUCUUGAAUUUGUUGAGGCACUGUGGAUUUCAUUUGUUGUGUUGUGCACUGUGGAAUUUCCAAUGUCAAUUUCUAUGAAGUUAGGAGUUGAUUCUUUUGAAUUUAUCAGGAGUUAAUUAGUUGGUGGACAAGGGUCAUUAGGGUGUUUUAGGGGUCAAGAGAUCGAGUUCUGAGAUGAUGGAGAGAAGGGAUGGAGUUCAAGAACCGUGCAUAUGGUCGUCUCCUGAAGGGGGAAAAGGUAAAGUUGAACCUGGAAAACGGAUCUUCUGCAAUAGGGUAUUGAAUAUAAGUGUCAAAGCUGUCGGCCUUGAUAUGGAUUACACAUUGGCACAAUACAAGCCCGAAACCUUUGAAAAACUUGCGUAUGAAGGAACAAUCAAAAAGUUUGUGGGCAAUCUGAUAGCUGUUGGAAUGGAAAUUUGAAUGGGAGUACAUGGUCAGAGGAUUGGUUCUAGAUAAAAAGAGAGGCAACAUCUUGAAGAUGGAUCGUCAUAAAUACGUUAAAGUGGGCAUACCAUGGAUUUACAGAGUUGAGCAAGGAAGAGAAAGUUAACACCUAUGGGAAUACUCUGAUAAGGAAUGCUUUCGAUUGGCCAGAUUAUGUGCUUGUUGAUACUCAUUUCUCAUUAGCUGGAGCCUAUUUGUUUGCCCAGCUUGUUGAAUUUAUGGACAAAUAUCGAGAAAGAGUACAUAAGUGAGGAUAAGUCCAUAGUUCCAAUGCUCAGAGAUUCUAAACGUGCAAGGUUCUUGGUAACAAACAGGCUCUGUAUGUUGGAGAUCAUAUCUAUGGAGAUAUUUUACGCAGCAAAAAAGUUCUUGGUAUUGCGUUCUUUCUUAUCUUCUGUAGCCUUUGAAGUUAAUAUGGACUGGUUGUGAAUUGUCAUACUGAACACGACAGCCCUCAAAGCAGUCUUUGAAUAGGGAAUGAAUGAAAAUAGAAGUUGGCGGCACAUGCUAUCUCCAAUUCCUCUCUUGAAAGUCUUGAAUUCCUCCUUGCACACCAAUGCCUGUCAAUUGCUGUCUCUUAAUUAGAGGUCAGAUUUAGCCAUAGCUAUGGGUUGUGGUGUGCAUUUCUGUGUCGGUUUUUGUGGUUUUCUUGCCCUUUAUGCCUCUCUGAGCAGGUUGGAGAACAAUGCUUAUUGUUCCAGAGCUUGAGAGAGAGGUCAAACUGCUUUGGGAACAAAGGAACUCAAACAAGGGAUGGAGUAAAAAUCAAACACCCACAGGCUCAACGAGAACGUCACCAAAUGUUUCACAAGGUCUGGGGACAACUCAUGAAGACUGGCUACCAAAACUCUCGCUUUGCACAUCAAAAGGAUAUGAAUCUUCUGGGUUCUCGAUCGAAUGAAAUAACGUAUCAAAAGGCCAACCUUAGAAAUCCAACGAAGAGCCAUCAACAGCGAAGGAACCCCCACCAAGUUCUCAACUAAUCUAUUUUCUGGGAUCAAAGUGAAUAGUGCAAUGCAGAGUGAAUUAACAGGAAGAAGCAGAUUGUAUCUGCUUUCAGGUUGAGAGAUUUGCCUGUCUUUUUACGAUUUUGGUGGUGACUGAUGUUUUGGGCCUUCAAACUUCCCUUGGCAAUCAGAAGAACUACUCUCCGAAGUGAAGAAUAGAAUGUUGAGGGAGAGGACCAUUUCUAAUUUGGCUUUUAAAAGACCUAGCAUUGCAGGGUGGAAGAUAAGUAACCUAUACCAUUUAUAAUUUGGCUACAUGUUCUUCGUUUUAGGUUUUUUAGUACAUUUCUUACGCAACUACAUUUUUUAAAGUCCUUGUUGGUUUCUCAUCACCCUAAAUGAGGACACAAACACAUGAUCGGUUAGUAUCACAAGAUUGAAAAUACGAAUACAUUAAUUAGGAUUAAAGAAAAAGCCAGGAAGGGGUUGAAUUGAUAAAAACCCUAGAAGUCAUAGAUAAUCUAAAAAUGAGAGAAAAAGGGAAAAUCUCUACCAAUUUUCAUGUUAAUAAAUACAAUUUUUUUAUAAUCCUUGUUGGUUUCAUCACACGAACACAUGAUUGGUUAAUAUUAUAUAAUCCUUGCUAAAAUUUUCUUUAUGCUUGGUUAAUAUUAUACCCAGAACACAUGACUGGUUUAUAUCCAUGUACUCCACAGACAGGAGCUAUGAGAAACAAUCAUUUACAGAGACAACUAGCAGCUUGUGUCCGAAACUGACAAGCUUACAAACCCUAAAAGUAUUCCUAACAUUCCUUCACUAUCAACCAUUUUAAUCCUGUCUCGACAGUGUUAGCCUCAUUGCGGGA